rnacentral:misc_RNA from 1 species
ACCCAGUAGCUCCAUAAACCCUAACGAGCUCUUAUCUCCUUCACAGAAAUCAAAUACACCCUGGAAAGGAUAACUGGUCUGAGUAUUAUCAGGAAAUGUUGACGAUCCAACAAUAUUCUCAAUCUUUACCUCUUCUUUCCCUUCCAUAGCCCUAUCAAAGCAGCAAAUUCUUCAUCAAUAUAUGACUGCAGAUACAGUAGUAGAACGGGAGAGAUGAAGUGUGGGUUUUGUAUACGGCUCUGAAGAAGAAAGGAAGAGUUGGUUAGGGUUGAUCUGGUUUUUAUGGUAGG